rnacentral:rRNA from 1 species
GGCGUAGGGGGCCAGCGUUGCUCGGAAUUACUGGGCGUAAAGGGGUUCGUAGGCGGUGUGGCAAGUCGGGAGUGAAAUCUCCAGGCUCAACUUGGAGGCUGCUUCCGAAACUGCCGCGCUAGAGUGCGAGAGAGGCCAGUGGAAUUGCAGGUGUAGCGGUGAAAUGCGUAGAUAUCUGCAGGAACACCCGUGGCGAAGGCGGCUGGCUGGAUCGCAACUGACGCUGAGGAACGAAAGCUAGGGGAGCAAACAGG